rnacentral:rRNA from 1 species
UACAGGGGGGGCAAGCGUUGUUCGGAAUUACUGGGCGUAAAGGGCUCGUAGGUGGCCAACUAAGUCAGACGUGAAAUCCCUCAGCUUAACUGGGGAACUGCGUCUGAUACUGGAUGGCUUGAGUUCGGGAGAGGGAUGCGGAAUUCCAGGUGUAGCGGUGAAAUGCGUAGAUAUCUGGAGGAACACCGGUGGCGAAGGCGGCAUCCUGGACCGACACUGACGCUGAGGAGCGAAAGCCUGGGGAGCAAACGGG